GAUGGAUGAGACAAAGACGAAGAACACGUUCCUCCUUUUGCCUUCCCUUUCCACCUCCCAUCCAUGUAUCAUCGCCACAUCCAGCUAUGGAAAUGCAGAAGUAGCCUUCUUUGCUAGAUCAGGAACCCAAGACAUAAAUGCAUCUAAAUGUGCAUCCAAGUGCAGAUUUAUCUGCAGAGUUUCGUUUUCAAUGGGGAAGCUGGUGUACCUGCCCUGAGGAAUAAAAAGCAAUCCUAGCUCCCCAAAAGUUCAAGUCAAGGUUAUCAACGAUUACCGACAAAGACGUUAAUGGCCUAGGACACAUAUACCCGAGGACCACCUCUCCUGAUAUGCCCCACUGAGAACAGCGGCACUCAUCCGAUCAAAGUCUUCUGAAGGUGCCACUCUACAAAUGGGAAAGAUCAGCAGCUGCCCAUCCCAUGAAUUCCCUGUUGUGGCACCCACUUUGUGGAACAGCUGGCCUGAGGAGGUCAGGAAUGUCCCUAGACUUCUACCAUUCUGCAGAAUGUGUAAAAUGGAAUGGUUCAGGAGGACAGCUUUUUAUAAGGGGAAUGGGGGUGUAGUAAAGUGGAAUUUCUCAGAAGGAUGCUUUUACAAAAGGAAUAGGGCUGUUGUUUAUGGUAUUGCUGAUUUCAUGCAUGAUCUUGUUCUUACUCAAUUGCUUUCUGAUUUCUGUUAAGCCAGCUUUUGUGUUUCAUAUACGUCAUGUCUUAUACUGUUUAUUACAUUUUUUCUAACUUUGUAAUCCGAUCCUAUUAUGCUGUUUAUUUUGUCAUAUAAUUGUUCAUAUUGCAUUGUUUUAAAUUUGGAAUCUGCCUUGAUUCUCAGCACGAAAGGUUGACUAUAAGUAAAGUAAAUAAAUAAACUUGUUUUUCCAUUAAGAUCUUCCUCAACUCCAUAUGCAUUUACCAUUUGAAGUAAAGUUGGUAAUUAUGUGAGACAGGAUGUCUUCAUCGGCAGUACAAUUAUGGCAUGUCCAGUGUCAAGAAGACAUGUACCUUGCUCCAUCUUUGCUUUUUUUCCCUUUCAGGAGCCUUUGGAAAGUGAGAACUCUCAAUUUUAGGUUGGAACGGUGUUAACAUUUUCUGCUGAUUUAUGGAUUUGCUUGAUUUUGUUACUUCCCUUUUUUUAGUUGCCUGUUUGUACUUGAUAUUGGAUUAUGAUACUAUGGUUUUAUUUUUAGUAGGUAUUGCAGGUUUUAAUGGAUUUUAGGUAGAUCAAUAAAGACUGAAAUGGGGAACAUAAUAAAUAAAUAUAAGCUACCUAUUACAAAAACUGACGUCUGCUUCCAUAGUUGAAGUCUU